UACGUAGGUCCCAAGCGUUGUCCGGAUUUAUUGGGCGUAAAGCGAGCGCAGGUGGUUUAUUAAGUCUGGUGUAAAAGGCAGUGGCUCAACCAUUGUAUGCAUUGGAAACUGGUAGACUUGAGUGCAGGAGAGGAGAGUGGAAUUCCAUGUGUAGCGGUGAAAUGCGUAGAUAUAUGGAGGAACACCGGUGGCGAAAGCGGCUCUCUGGCCUGUAACUGACACUGAGGCUCGAAAGCGUAGGGAGCAAACAGG
rnacentral:rRNA from 1 species